rnacentral:rRNA from 1 species
GAUGAACGCUGACAGAAUGCUUAACGCAUGCAAGUCAACUUGAAUUUGGGUUUUUUAACUUAGAUUUGGGUGGCGGACGGGUGAGUAACGCGUAAAGAACUUGCCUCACAGCUAGGGACAACAUUUGGAAACGAAUGCUAAUACCUGAUAUUAUGAUUAUAAGGCAUCUUAGAAUUAUGAAAGCUAUAUGCGCUGUGAGAGAGCUUUGCGUCCCAUUAGCUAGUUGGAGAGGUAACGGCUCACCAAGGCGAUGAUGGGUAGCCGGCCUGAGAGGGUGAACGGCCACAAGGGGACUGAGACACGGCCCUUACUCCUACGGGAGGCAGCAGUGGGGAAUAUUGGACAAUGGACCAAGAGUCUGAUCCAGCAAUUCUGUGUGCACGAUGACGUUUUUCGGAAUGUAAAGUGCUUUCAGUUGGGAAGAAAAAAAUGACGGUACCAACAGAAGAAGUGACGGCUAAAUACGUG